CAGUGAGCGGAAGGCUGGAGCCUCUAAUGUAACAGUAGGCAGGGGAGGGAACACACAACACCUGUUUUCCAUUAGCACAGACUCCUAUCUGCCUCCAUUUUGUGUGUGCUCCAAUGUAGGCUAGCUUUUAAAGCUCCAGUGAGUGUUAUUGUCUGUUCGUUCAGUAGUAACUAUGCCUGGCUACAUCCUAUAGAAAUAUCACCCCAAGGCUAUAUGAGUUGUGAAACCUGAUCCAUUGUUUUUGUAGUGUGUACUUGGUCAUUGUCUUUGUUUUUUCCCAGAUCCCAGCUACUACAGAAAGUUUGUGGUACAGCUCGGCUGAGGGUCAAGAGCUGGUCCAUGUUCUUCAGAGACUGAGUCAUUCUGCCAGGUCCCAUGCUGAUGUUGCUGUGGUUUCACUGGCAGCGGAGAUCCUGACAGGGAUUGGAUUCUAGAAUGUUGAUUCAUCAGCAACAAGUGAUUGGCUUCGAGAAGGACCAUAAUUCAGUGAUCAGCAACAUAAACCGUGUCUCCAUUAUGGUGCCUAGCUUUAUAAUAAAACUGGCAUCCAUUGUGGUUUUGCGUUCCAUUCUAAUACCACUUUACAAUACUUUAGAUUUUUUUAAAGGAUGUGCAAGUUUAGAGUACAAACAAAGGACACAUUUGCCCCAUGUAGCCUCACGACCUGAACUAGUCAGUUCCAUAAACCACCAAGACAGAGAUGAAAUUGAAGUCCAUUUUUAUUGUUUAGCCAUGUCAUGACCAUGUCUCCAAUAAGCACAGCAGGCUACAAUAAUUAGGGAUUCUUUUCACCUCCUUGAACAGCUAUCAACUAAAAGACAUUUAAAAAAGAAACUGCUGCCCUCCCCACAGACCCUUUGGAACAGUUGUGACACUACAAACAGUGCACACUUAAAGCAAGAAAAUAUUUGGACCAUUUCCAAUUCUUGGUUUUAUACAAAAGCUACACAAUGUUACACUUGAUCAGAAUACAAUUCAACUGAUUAUUAGUGUUCUACACCAUAUCAUUUUAAUUGGAGCAUUACCACUAUAACUUAACACUACGAGAGACUUAAAAUGGAUACAAAUGAGUGCAGAAAAGACAGGCGAGUAUAAUAACAAGCUAUAUCAGUACCAUUACAGACUGAAGAAUCAUACAAAAUAAAAUGUAAAAAAAUACAGACCAGGGUUUUAAAUUCCAUCUUUAGAUCCACUCUUCAGCGUCAUUUUCUUUGAGUAACCCACUCCAGGAAUUCCUUUAACGCAGUUUUAACUCCCACAAAAGACCAGAACAAAGUUUUACUUCCACUCCACGUGUUCCCAUAGGAAACUCAGCUUUCAGUAGUGUGUCAGGCACUUUCUGAGAUACUAGCCCACUUUCAAAAACCUCCCAGCAACUUCUCCAGCCAAAUCACAAUGCAGGUUCAUUCAGAUCAGACGAUACACCU